rnacentral:rRNA from 1 species
AUUGAACGCUGGCGGCAUGCCUUACACAUGCAAGUCGAACGGCAGCACGGGGCAACCUGGUGGCGAGUGGCGAACGGGUGAGUAAUGCAUCGGAACGUGCCAUUGAGUGGGGGAUAACGUAGCGAAAGUUGCGCUAAUACCGCAUAUUCUGUGAGCAGGAAAGCAGGGGACCGCAAGGCCUUGCGCUCUUUGAGCGGCCGAUGUCAGAUUAGCUAGUUGGUGAGGUAACGGCUUACCAAGGCGACGAUCUGUAGCGGGUCUGAGAGGAUGAUCCGCCACACUGGAACUGAGACACGGUCCAGACUCCUACGGGAGGCAGCAGUGGGGAAUUUUGGACAAUGGGCGCAAGCCUGAUCCAGCCAUGCCGCGUGAGUAAAGAAGGCC